AGCUUCAGUUAGCUCAGUUGGUUAGAGUGUGGCGCUCAUAAUGCCAAGGUCGUGAGUUCAAUCCCUACAUGGGCCA